AGCGAACGCUGGCGGCAGGCCUAACACAUGCAAGUCGAACGAAGUCUUCGGACUUAGUGGCGGACGGGUGAGUAACACGUGGGAACGUACCUUUUGGAUCGGAACAACCCAGGGAAGCUUGAGCUAAUACCGGAUGAGCCCUUAGGGGGAAAGAUUUAUCGCCGAAAGAGCGGCCCGCGUUAGAUUAGCUAGUUGGUGAGGUAAAGGCUCACCAAGGCUACGAUCUAUAGCUGGUCUGAGAGGAUGAUCAGCCACACUGGGACUGAGACACGGCCCAGACUCCUACGGGAGGCAGCAGUGGGGAAUCUUGCGCAAUGGGCGAAAGCCUGACGCAGCCAUGCCGCGUGAAUGAUGAAGGUCUUAGGAUUGUAAAAUUCUUUUACCAGGGACGAUAAUGACGGUACCUGGAGAAAAAGCCCCGGCUAACUUCGUGCCAGCCGCCGCCGUAAUAC
rnacentral:rRNA from 1 species